ACUCUCUCCCUGUUCCCUUCCUCUCCCUAAACUUAUUGGUUCCAUGAUGCAUCUGCCAAGGAAGACUAUAAAAGAAUGUGUUUUGUCCCUUGGUCAUAUGAAAAGAGGAAAACAUCAGCUCUGAGCCCAGCACUUCAGCUUCACCACCUGGUAUUCUCUCCCUUUACUCAGACAGCUUCUGAAACCCCAUGCUCUGUUCAGAUUUCUUCAGGAAUUUGCUGAAAAGGAUGUAAGAUUCUUCUUCUUUCUAAUAUGGAUGUUGGAGAAAAGCAGCAACUACUGUACAAACCUCAAUAUAUAUAUUGAGAAUUCUUCUGAAAAUAUGAACUAAAUGAAAU
rnacentral:lncRNA from 1 species